UAGCUAGUUGGUGGGGUAAGGGCCUACCAAGGCGACGAUCGGUAGCUGGUCUGAGAUGAUGACCAGCCACACUGGAACUGAGACACGGUCCAGACUCCUACGGGAGGCAGCAGUGGGGAAUAUUGGACAAUGGGGGCAACCCUGAUCCAGCAAUGCCGCGUGUGUGAAGAAGGCCUGAGGGUUGUAAAGCACUUUCAGUGGGGAGGAGUGUUGAUGGGUUAAGAGCUAAUUAACUGGACGUUACCCACAGAAGAAGCACCGGCUAACUCCGUGCCAGCAGCCGCGGUAAUACGGAGGGUGCGAGCGUUAAUCGGAAUUACUGGGCGUAAAGAGUGCGUAGGUGGUUGAAUAAGUUAUCUGUGAAAUCCCUGGGCUUAACCUGGGCAGGUCAGAUGAUACUGUUUAACUCGAGUAUGGGAGAGGGUAGUGGAAUUUCCGGUGUAGCGGUGAAAUGCGUAGAGAUCGGAAGGAACACCAGUGGCGAAGGCGGCUACCUGGCCUAAUACUGACACUGAGGCACGAAAGCGUGGGAAGCAAACAGGAUUAGAUACCCUGGUAGUCCACGCUGUAAACGAUGUCAACUAGCUGUUGGUUAUAUGAAAAUAAUUAGUGGCGC
rnacentral:rRNA from 1 species